rnacentral:rRNA from 1 species
GACGAACGCUGGCGGCGUGCUUAACACAUGCAAGUCGAACGGAAAGGCCCUGCUUUUGUGGGGUGCUCGAGUGGCGAACGGGUGAGUAACACGUGAGUAACCUGCCCUUGACUUUGGGAUAACUUCAGGAAACUGGGGCUAAUACCGGAUAGGAGCUCCUGCUGCAUGGUGGGGGUUGGAAAGUUUCGGCGGUUGGGGAUGGACUCGCGGCUUAUCAGCUUGUUGGUGGGGUAGUGGCUUACCAAGGCUUUGACGGGUAGCCGGCCUGAGAGGGUGACCGGCCAAAUGGGGACGGGGAUACGGCCCGAACCCCUAGGGGGGGCAGAGGGGGGGAAUUUGGCAAAAGGGGGGGAAGCCUGAGGAAGCAACCCCGGGGGGGGAAUGCGGGCCUUGGGGUUGAAAACCGCUUUCCCCUGGGAGGAAGGGGGGGGGAGGGAAAUGGGAAAAGAAGCACGGGCAAACACCUG